UACGAGGGGGGCGAGCGUUUGUUCGGAAUUAUUGGGCGAAAGGGUGCGUAGGCGGUUUGGUAAGUCUUGUGUGAAAUCUACAGGCUCAACUUUGUAGUCUGCACGAGAAACUGCCGGGGCUUGAGUAUGGGGAGAGGUGAGUGGAAUUCCUGGUGUAGCGGUGAAAUGCGUAGAUAUCAGGAGGAACACCGGUGGCGAAGGCGGUUCUCUGGGCCUACCUGACACUGAGGAGCGAAAGCGUGGGGAGCGAACAGG
rnacentral:rRNA from 1 species